rnacentral:rRNA from 1 species
UAAUACAGAGGCCUCAAGCGUUGUUCGGAUUCAUUGGGCGUAAAGGGUGCGUAGGUGGUUUGGUAAGUUGAAGGUGAAAUCUCGGGGCUUAACUCCGAAACUGCCUUCAAUACUGCUGGACUUGAGGAUUGUAGAGGAGAAUGGAAUUCACGGUGUAGCAGUGAAAUGCGUAGAUAUCGUGAGGAAGACCAGUGGCGAAGGCGAUUCUCUGGGCAAUUCCUGACACUGAGGCACGAAGGCCAGGGGAGCAAACGGG